AACGAACGCUGGCGGCAGGCCUAACACAUGCAAGUCGAGCGAAGCCUUCGGGCUUAGCGGCGGACGGGUGAGUAACGCGUGGGAACGUGCCCUUUGGUACGGAAUAGCCCCGGGAAACUGGGAGUAAUACCGUAUGUGGUCGAGAGACGAAAGAUUUAUCGCCAAAGGAUCGGCCCGCGUUGGAUUAGGUAGUUGGUGGGGUAAUGGCCUACCGAGCCGACGAUCCAUAGCUGGUUUGAGAGGAUGAUCAGCCACACUGGGACUGAGACACGGCCCAGACUCCUACGGGAGGCAGCAGUGGGGAAUCUUAGACAAUGGGGGAAACCCUGAUCUAGCCAUGCCGCGUGAUCGAUGAAGGCCUUAGGGUUGUAAAGAUCUUUCAGUGGGGAAGAUAAUGACUGUACCCACAGAAGAAGCCCCGGCUAACUCCGUGCCAGCAGCCGCUGUAACAC
rnacentral:rRNA from 1 species